rnacentral:rRNA from 1 species
CGGAGGGUGCAAGCGUUGUCCGGAUUUAUUGGGUUUAAAGGGUGCGUAGGCGGCUCGAUAAGUCCGUGGUGAAAGCCCACAGCUCAACUGUGGAACUGCCAUGGAUACUGUCGGGCUGGAGUACAGACGAGGUAGGCGGAAUGGAUCGUGUAGCGGUGAAAUGCAUAGAUACGAUCCAGAACUCCGAUUGCGAAGGCAGCUUACUAGGCUGUAACUGACGCUGAGGCACGAAAGCGUGGGAGCGAACAGGAUU